GGUGGAUCACUGGGCUCGUGCGUCGAUGAAGAGCGCAGCCAGCUGCGUGAAUUAAUGUGAAUUGCAGAACACAUUGAACAUCGAUAUCUUGAACGCAUAUGGCGGCCUCGGGUCAAUCCCGGGGCCACGCCCGUCUGAGGGUCGGCUAGUGUCAAAACAAUCGUGUCGCUUUUUUUGCUCGUGCGACGCGCUCUGGACCGUCGCGGCCGUAAAAUCCAGCGCCCGCUCGCCUGGUGGCCCCGUGGUCUUAAGCACAAGCCGCGCCGUUGUCCGUGUUCGUCUCGUGACGUCCGCGACGCCGCCUUGCUCUCGGCGGCGGCCAAAUUUCCUCUGCGUCACCGCUAAGCGGGACCCGGCUCGCUCUCGCUAACGGGCCCGCUUAUCAUGAAAAGCUCGAGGGUGAUUGCGGAGGAGAGAAAGCUUACGCCGACGCUCGCUUGACAAAUCGGCGCCCGGUACGAAUUAUGAAGAAGAAAAUAAAUUUUUUUCUUCAACAUAUCUCCGACCUCAGAUCGGACGAGAUUACCCGCUGAAUUUAAGCAUA
rnacentral:rRNA from 1 species